rnacentral:rRNA from 1 species
GACGAACGCUGGCGGCGUGCUUAACACAUGCAAGUCGAACGGAAAGGCCCUGCUUUUGUGGGGUGCUCGAGUGGCGAACGGGUGAGUAACACGUGAGUAACCUGCCCUUGACUUUGGGAUAACUUCAGGAAACUGGGGCUAAUACCGGAUAGGAGCUCCUGCUGCAUGGUGGGGGUUGGAAAGUUUCGGCGGUUGGGGAUGGACUCGCGGCUUAUCAGCUUGUUGGUGGGGUAGUGGCUUACCAAGGCUUUGACGGGUAGCCGGCCUGAGAGGGUGACCGGACACAUUGGGACUGAGAUACGGCCCAGACUCCGACGGGAGGCAGCAGUGGGGAAUAUUGCACAAUGGGCGGAAGCCUGAUGCAGCAACGCCGCGUGCGGGAUGACGGCCUUCGGGUUGUAAACCGCUUUCGCCUGUGACGAAGCGUGAGUGACGGUAAUGGGUAAAGAAGCACCGGCUAACUACGUG